rnacentral:rRNA from 1 species
AUUGAACGCUGGCGGCAGGCCUAACACAUGCAAGUCGAACGAGUGGCGGACGGGUGAGUAAUGUCUGGGAAACUGCCUGAUGGAGGGGGAUAACUACUGGAAACGGUAGCUAAUACCGCAUACCAUCGGAUGUGCCCCUAUGGGAUUAGCUAGUAGGUGGGGUAACGGCUCACCUAGGCGACGAUCCCUAGCUGGUCUGAGAGGAUGACAAGCAACACUGGAACUGAGACACGGUCCAGACUCGUACGGGAGGCAGCAGUGGGGAAGAUUGCACAAUGGGCGAAAGCCUGAUGCAGCCAUGCCGCGUGUAUGAAGAAGGCCUUCGGGUUGUAAAGUACUUGCAGUGGGGAGGCGUUACCCGCAGAAGAAGCACCGGCUAACUCCGUGCCAGCCGCCGCGGUAAUAC